CAUCGAUCCUUUGUAAGUUUGUGCAAUCAUUGUCAUCCCUUGUCUUUGACUUCAGCUUUUAGAUUUUGAAGUUGUGGAUUCAGCAUUUUUAUUCCACCUUCGAUUUGUCUCGCCCGUUCUUUCAGUGUCUUUCUUUGCAUGCCUUUUGAAGCUUUUCUUGGCCCUCCACCAGUCUCUUGCUCGUCUUGUGAAGCAUUGCUAUAUUGACGCUCGCCCCAUUAGUGUCUCGAAAUUGUGCGAUAUGAGUGGCGAUUCACCCUCCGUUCUGUCUGCUCAGACGGUGGAGGAAAUGGCAGUCGUUGGUCAGCAAGCCGUGCGAGAAGUAGCUUGCAAAUUUCAGCAGGCCUUACAGAGUUUCAACAAUACCUAUAAGACUCCUGAAUCGGCUAGUAAUAGUGAGCUUCAGCAGGAGAGAAUUGCCCUGUUUCAAGAACAAAUUACUUCUUUGCAUGGCACUGUGGAUACUAUUCGUUCAGCUUAUCAGAGCUGCCUUCGGUCUCCUGCGUCGGAUAACUCAUCCAAACCACCAAGUUCUCUUCCUAGUGAGAAGGAGCGCCUUAUUCAGGAGCUCCAUGAAAUCAGCGCUGCUGUUCAAGAGGAGAUCGCACUGACACGUGAGCUGUUAUGGACCCUGUCCGUACAUGGGCAGCAAGCAGACUGCAGCACGCAAACGAUUCUUACAGCCAAGCAUCCGUCCUGAUAUUUGCUGUCAUGUUUGAUGUUUGAUUCUAUGUGGACUUUCAUUUUUGUGUGGAUGCUGUUGCUGAAUUUACCAUGUACCACGCUUUUCUGGCAUAAUCCUGACGUCAUUUUCCCAUCAUUUGCUAUAUGUUUUCUUAACCUUGCUCUGCUAUUGUCGCACUCAACUUCUUAAUUUUGUACAUACAUUGACUCUAAACUUGAUACUUCCAGUCUUCCACCCAUGAAAAUAACAAUCAUAUCAAUUCCCUCUUUUAGUAUUACUUUUGUGUUGCUUUUCCACGUAAUGUUUUGUCGGCUACGGUGUGUUUCCUUUGUAUUUCAGGUGCCGGAGCUCUUUUGUUGACUGCCUUUCUAAUCUUUUUCUUUCUUUCUUUUUCCCUUCCUUUUUACUGCCGAUAGAGUUCUGGUAAUAUCUGCCACUGCUAACAGUGGGCAGCUCUGCUCUGUCUUCUUUCUUUUUUCUUUUUCUUUUUUAAUUAUCACUUUCUGUCCCAAGCCAGUGCAGUGUGCACUUAUCUGAUUUUAGACACGCGAUCUUGUGUCGAUAUCCUGCUCCAUUCAGAGUAUUCAGAGUAUUCGGAUUACGCUUUCCUA